GGUAACACUAACUGGAGGACCGAACCGACUAAUGUUGAAAAAUUAGCGGAUGACCUGUGGCUGGGGGUGAAAGGCCAAUCAAACCGGGAGAUAGCUGGUUCUCCCCGAAAGCUAUUUAGGUAGCGCCUCGUGAAUUCAUCUCCGGGGGUAGAGCACUGUUUCGGCUAGGGGGCCAUCCCGGCUUACCAACCCGAUGCAAACUGCGAAUACCGGAGAAUGUUAUCACGGGAGACACACGGCGGGUGCUAACGUCCGUCGUGAAGAGGGAAACAACCCAGACCGCCAGCUAAGGUCCCAAAGUCAUGGUUAAGUGGGAAACGAUGUGGGAAGGCCCAGACAGCCAGGAUGUUGGCUUAGAAGCAGCCAUCAUUUAAAGAAAGCGUAAUAGCUCACUGGUCGAGUCGGCCUGCGCGGAAGAUGUAACGGGGCUAAACCAU
rnacentral:rRNA from 4 species